GAAGUUUGAUCCUGGCUCAGGACGAACGCUGGCGGCGUGCUUAACACAUGCAAGUCGAGCGGUAAGGCCCUUCGGGGUACACGAGCGGCGAACGGGUGAGUAACACGUGGGUGAUCUGCCUCGCACUUCGGGAUAAGCCUGGGAAACUGGGUCUAAUACCGGAUAUGACCUUUCAGUGCAUGCUGUUGGGUGGAAAGAUUUAUCGGUGCGAGAUGGGCCCGCGGCCUAUCAGCUUGUUGGCGGGGUAACGGCCCACCAAGGCGACGACGGGUAGCCGACCUGAGAGGGUGACCGGCCACACUGGGACUGAGACACGGCCCAGACUCCUACGGGAGGCAGCAGUGGGGAAUAUUGCACAAUGGGCGGAAGCCUGAUGCAGCGACGCCGCGUGAGGGAUGACGGCCUUCGGGUUGUAAACCUCUUUCGACAGGGACGAAGCGCAAGUGACGGUACCUGUAGAAGAAGCACCGGCCAACUACGUGCCAGCAGCCGC
rnacentral:rRNA from 1 species